rnacentral:lncRNA from 1 species
AUUUUCUCCACAUUGUCUCUUCUGUUCCUGCAAACCCCAGAGAACAUGCUGUAUGAGUGUGAUGGAAAUAAUUUCACUUUCUCUGACUUAUGAUUAGUGAAGAGGAUUUCAGGCUGGCAUCAAGUUACAGAGUCUCACUGUGUUGCCCAGGCUGGAGUGCAGUGGUGCAAUCUCAGUUCACUGCGACUUCUGCCUCCUGGGUUUGAGCGAUUCUCCUGCCUCCGCCUCCCAAGUAGCUGGGAUUACAG